UACGUAGGGGGCGAGCGUUAUCCGGAAUCACUGGGCGUAAAGGGCGCGUAGGCGGCUCAUGAAGGCUGUGGUGAAAGUCCGGGGCUCAACCUCGGAUCGGCCGUGGCGACUCGUGGGCUGGAGCACUGUAGAGGCAGGUGGAAUUCCGGGGUGGUAGCGGUGGAAUGCGUAGAUAUCUGGAGGAAGACCGGGUGGCGAAGGCGGUCUGCUGGGCAGUUUCUGCACUGAGGCG
rnacentral:rRNA from 1 species